UACGUAGGUGGCAAGCGUUGUCCGGAAUUAUUGGGCGUAAAGCGCGCGCAGGCGGUUUCUUAAGUCUGAUGUGAAAGCCCACGGCUUAACCGUGGAAGGUCAUUGGAAACUGGGAGACUUGAGUGCAGAAGAGAAGAGCGGAAUUCCACGUGUAGCGGUGAAAUGCGUAGAGAUGUGGAGGAACACCAGUGGCGAAGGCGGCUCACUGGCCCGGAACUGACGCUGAGGCGCGAAAGCGUGGGGAGCAAACAGG
rnacentral:rRNA from 1 species